GGGUUGUGAGGUUAAGCGACUAAGCGUACACGGUGGAUGCCCUGGCAGUCAGAGGCGAUGAAGGACGUGCUAAUCUGCGAUAAGCGUCGGUAAGGUGAUAUGAACCGUUAUAACCGGCGAUUUCCGAAUGGGGAAACCCAGUGUGAUUCGUCACACUAUCAUUAACUGAAUCCAUAGGUUAAUGAGGCGAACCGGGGGAACUGAAACAUCUAAGUACCCCGAGGAAAAGAAAUCAACCGAGAUUCCCCCAGUAGCGGCGAGCGAACGGGGAGCAGCCCAGAGCCUGAAUCAGUGUGUGUGUUAGUGGAAGCGUCUGGAAAGGCGCGCGAUACAGGGUGACAGCCCCGUACACAAAAAUGCACAUGCUGUGAGCUCGAUGAGUAGGGCGGGACACGUGGUAUCCUGUCUGAAUAUGGGGGGACCAUCCUCCAAGGCUAAAUACUCCUGACUGACCGAUAGUGAACCAGUACCGUGAGGGAAAGGCGAAAAGAACCCCGGCGAGGGGAGUGAAAAAGAACCUGAAACCGUGUACGUACAAGCAGUGGGAGCACAGAGCAAUCUGUGUGACUGCGUACCUUUUGUAUAAUGGGUCAGCGACUUAUAUUCUGUAGCAAGGUUAACCGAAUAGGGGAGCCGAAGGGAAACCGAGUCUUAACUGGGCGUUAAGUUGCAGGGUAUAGACCCGAAACCCGGUGAUCUAGCCAUGGGCAGGUUGAAGGUUGGGUAACACUAACUGGAGGACCGAACCGACUAAUGUUGAAAAAUUAGCGGAUGACUUGUGGCUGGGGGUGAAAGGCCAAUCAAACCGGGAGAUAGCUGGUUCUCCCCGAAAGCUAUUUAGGUAGCGCCUCGUGAAUUCAUCUCCGGGGGUAGAGCACUGUUUCGGCAAGGGGGUCAUCCCGACUUACCAACCCGAUGCAAACUGCGAAUACCGGAGAAUGUUAUCACGGGAGACACACGGCGGGUGCUAACGUCCGUCGUGAAGAGGGAAACAACCCAGACCGCCAGCUAAGGUCCCAAAGUCAUGGUUAAGUGGGAAACGAUGUGGGAAGGCCCAGACAGCCAGGAUGUUGGCUUAGAAGCAGCCAUCAUUUAAAGAAAGCGUAAUAGCUCACUGGUCGAGUCGGCCUGCGCGGAAGAUGUAACGGGGCUAAACCAUGCACCGAAGCUGCGGCAGCGACGCUGAUGCGUUGUUGGGUAGGGGAGCGUUCUGUAAGCCUGUGAAGGUGUACUGUGAGGUAUGCUGGAGGUAUCAGAAGUGCGAAUGCUGACAUAAGUAACGAUAAAGCGGGUGAAAAGCCCGCUCGCCGGAAGACCAAGGGUUCCUGUCCAACGUUAAUCGGGGCAGGGUGAGUCGACCCCUAAGGCGAGGCCGAAAGGCGUAGUCGAUGGGAAACAGGUUAAUAUUCCUGUACUUGGUGUUACUGCGAAGGGGGGACGGAGAAGGCUAUGUUGGCCGGGCGACGGUUGUCCCGGUUUAAGCGUGUAGGCUGGUUUUCCAGGCAAAUCCGGAAAAUCAAGGCUGAGGCGUGAUGACGAGGCACUACGGUGCUGAAGCAACAAAUGCCCUGCUUCCAGGAAAAGCCUCUAAGCAUCAGGUAACAUCAAAUCGUACCCCAAACCGACACAGGUGGUCAGGUAGAGAAUACCAAGGCGCUUGAGAGAACUCGGGUGAAGGAACUAGGCAAAAUGGUGCCGUAACUUCGGGAGAAGGCACGCUGAUAUGUAGGUGAAGUCCCUCGCGGAUGGAGCUGAAAUCAGUCGAAGAUACCAGCUGGCUGCAACUGUUUAUUAAAAACACAGCACUGUGCAAACACGAAAGUGGACGUAUACGGUGUGACGCCUGCCCGGUGCCGGAAGGUUAAUUGAUGGGGUCAGCGCAAGCGAAGCUCUUGAUCGAAGCCCCGGUAAACGGCGGCCGUAACUAUAACGGUCCUAAGGUAGCGAAAUUCCUUGUCGGGUAAGUUCCGACCUGCACGAAUGGCGUAAUGAUGGCCAGGCUGUCUCCACCCGAGACUCAGUGAAAUUGAACUCGCUGUGAAGAUGCAGUGUACCCGCGGCAAGACGGAAAGACCCCGUGAACCUUUACUAUAGCUUGACACUGAACAUUGAGCCUUGAUGUGUAGGAUAGGUGGGAGGCUUUGAAGUGUGGACGCCAGUCUGCAUGGAGCCGACCUUGAAAUACCACCCUUUAAUGUUUGAUGUUCUAACGUUGACCCGUGAUCCGGGUUGCGGACAGUGUCUGGUGGGUAGUUUGACUGGGGCGGUCUCCUCCUAAAGAGUAACGGAGGAGCACGAAGGUUGGCUAAUCCUGGUCGGACAUCAGGAGGUUAGUGCAAUGGCAUAAGCCAGCUUGACUGCGAGCGUGACGGCGCGAGCAGGUGCGAAAGCAGGUCAUAGUGAUCCGGUGGUUCUGAAUGGAAGGGCCAUCGCUCAACGGAUAAAAGGUACUCCGGGGAUAACAGGCUGAUACCGCCCAAGAGUUCAUAUCGACGGCGGUGUUUGGCACCUCGAUGUCGGCUCAUCACAUCCUGGGGCUGAAGUAGGUCCCAAGGGUAUGGCUGUUCGCCAUUUAAAGUGGUACGCGAGCUGGGUUUAGAACGUCGUGAGACAGUUCGGUCCCUAUCUGCCGUGGGCGCUGGAGAACUGAGGGGGGCUGCUCCUAGUACGAGAGGACCGGAGUGGACGCAUCACUGGUGUUCGGGUUGUCAUGCCAAUGGCACUGCCCGGUAGCUAAAUGCGGAAGAGAUAAGUGCUGAAAGCAUCUAAGCACGAAACUUGCCCCGAGAUGAGUUCUCCCUGACUCCUUGAGAGUCCUGAAGGAACGUUGAAGACGACGACGUUGAUAGGCCGGGUGUGUAAGCGCAGCGAUGCGUUGAGCUAACCGGUACUAAUGAACCGUGAGGCUUAACCUUACAACGCCGAAGCUGUU
rnacentral:rRNA from 1 species